rnacentral:rRNA from 1 species
ACUCAAAGGAAUAGACGGGGGCCCGCACAAGCGGAGGAGCAUGUGGUUUAAUUCGAUGAUACGCGAGGAACCUUACCUGGGCUAGAACGCAAGAUGACUGUCCGAGAAAUCGGAUUUUCCUUCGGGACAUUUUGCGAGGUGCUGCAUGGUUGUCGUCAGCUCGUGCCGUGAGGUGUCGGGUUAAGUCCCAUAACGAGCGCAACCCCUAUCUUUAGUUGCCAUCAGGUCAUGCUGGGGACUCUAGAGAAACUGCCUACGCAAGUAGUGAGGAAGGCGGGGAUGACGUCAAAUCAGCACGGCCCUUACGUCCAGGGCUACACACGUGCUACAAUGGCCGGUACAGAGGGUCGCUACCUGGUGACAGGAUGCCAAUCUCCAAAACCGGUCUCAGUUCGGAUCGAAGUCUGCAACUCGACUUCGUGAAGUUGGAUUCGCUAGUAAUCGUACAUCAGCAAUGGUACGGUGAAUACGUUCCCGGGCCUUGCACACACCGCCCGU